GGAUGGACACACCCUCAGCUGAGGCGUUGAUGUAGCCACCAUCAUAGCUGCCAAGGGGGUUAAUAUUCACUCCAGAUUCGGAAACUGAGGUUCAGUACGAGGAAAUAACUGGUCCAAUUUCCUCCUUGAAGACCAGUCCCUUUUCUGUGUGAAGAACGGGCCAUUUGGUGUCUGAAGUCACUUCCGGAUUUGAAACUCAAGGAUUCUAAGGUUCCGUACGAGGUGUGGCUUUCCCAGGGUCCUCGGUUCUAGGGCAUUGUAUCCCCACACCUGGUGCCUCUCCAUCGGGGCUUGGAUGUCAACCUUGGGCAGCUCACUCUCUCUCUGACUUCCUUUUUCUUUUCUUCUUCAUAUCCCACCCUCCUUCCCAGUUUCUAUGCCUCUGUCAGUCUGCUAGCUGACUGACUCAUGCGGCCCUCUGUCUGUGGUCCUCUAAGCCUCAUAACCGUCUGUGCUUUCAUUAUACUCCCCGUGGGCUUUCCAGCCUCUACUUGUUUUGAGGAAGAGGUGGAGGAUCCAUAGCAGUGCUGUCUAGAUGUUUGGAUUUCAUAGGCCAGUCACAACAUUUCAAAGUAAGUGAAGGGAGGGGGCCCCAAAGGUAGGGAUUUUUUCCUUUGAUAAUAAGGAUAGGCCACCAUCUUCAGCCCAAGCUUGUCCCUUUUCUGCAGGACCUGCCGAAAUGUUACAAGAAGUGGCCAACAUAAUCCAACUCGAAUUUUUCCACGUGCCCUAAUACUGCAGUCUUUGGAGUCCUCCACAUAAUGCAGGCUUUGAUCUAACAAGGAUUGCCAACCCUUAGCCAGGAAUCAUGAGGAUGUCACCGCCCUCUGGCCUUCUUCCUCUCUUCCACCAGCUAGAUCCAUAUUUUAGCUUCCCUCCAACCCCAGUUAAGUACCAAACCUGCUCCCUUUCCAAGCUUCUCUAUCACUCGUCAUGGCACCAGCUUUACCCAGUGCUCAAGUCAAAAAUAUAGGAGUCAUCCUUGACUUCCUUUUUUUGUUACACCCCACAUCAGCAAAUCCCGGUGUCCCUAACUCCAAAAGAUGCCCCACCUUAUGCCUGUAAUCAAAGCACUUUGGGAGGCUGAGGCGGGAGGAUCACUUGAGCCCAGGG